rnacentral:rRNA from 1 species
GACGAACGCUGGCGGCGUGCUUAACACAUGCAAGUCGAACGGUGAAGCGCCUUCCUUUUUGGUGGGUGUGGAUGAGUGGCGAACGGGUGAGUAACACGUGAGUAACCUGCCCCCUUCUUCUGGAUAACCGCAUGAAAGUGUGGCUAAUACGGGAUAUUCUGGGUCUGUCGCAUGAUGGGUCUGGGAAAGAUAUUGUUUCGGUGGGGGAUGGGCUCGCGGCCUAUCAGCUUGUUGGUGGGGUGAUGGCCUACCAAGGCGGUGACGGGUAGCCGGCCUGAGAGGGUGGACGGUCACACUGGGACUGAGACACGGCCCAGACUCCUACGGGAGGCAGCAGUGGGGAAUAUGGCACAAUGGGCGCAAGCCUGAUGCAGCGACGCCGCGUGAGGGAUGGAGGCCUUCGGGUUGUGAACCUCUUUCGCCAGUGAAGCAGGCCUGCCUCGUUUGUGGGUGGGUUGACGGUAGCUGGAUAAGAAGCGCCGGCUAACUACGU